GGGCCCGUAGUUUAGUUGGCUAAAACAUCUGGCUGGCAGUCAGAAGAGCAGGGGUUCGAGUCCCCUCGGGUCCA
rnacentral:tRNA from 1 species